rnacentral:rRNA from 1 species
UGAGGAAUUUUGCGCAAUGGGCGAAAGCGUGACGGUGCGACGCCGCGUGCAGGAUGAAGGCCUUCGGGUCGUAAACUGCUGUCAUGAGGGAGCAAUGUCCGGAAUGCUAACACCAUUUCGGGGUGAUAGUACCUCAAGAGGAAGCCACGGCUAACUCUGUGCCAGCAGCCGCGGUAAUACAGAGGCGGCGAGCGUUGUUCGGAUUUACUGGGCGUAAAGGGUGCGUAGGCGGUUCUGUGUGUCGGAUGUGAAAUCUCACAGCUUAACUGUGGAAUGGCAUUCGAAACUACAGGGCUGGAGUACAGGAGAGGAGAGCGGAAUUCUUGGUGUAGCGGUGAAAUGCGUAGAUAUCAAGAGGAACGCCAAUGGCGAAAGCAGCUUUCUGGAGGAUUCAUGACUCUGAGGCACGAAGGCUAGAGUAGCAAACA